rnacentral:tRNA from 1 species
GCCGGUGUGGUGGAAUUGGCAGACGCGCCGGAUUCAAAAUCCGGUGGAGGUAACUCCGUGGGGGUUCGACUCCCCCCACCGGCACCA